GACGAACGCUGGCGGCGUGCUUAACACAUGCAAGUCGAACGAAGAGCGAUGGAAGCUUGCUUCUAUCAAUCUUAGUGGCGAACGGGUGAGUAACGCGUAAUCAACCUGCCCUUCAGAGGGGGACAACAGUUGGAAACGACUGCUCAUACCGCAUACGCUCUAAUCUCGGCAUCGAGGAUAGAUGAAAGGUGGCCUCUACAUGUAAGCUAUCACUGCAGGAGGGGAUUGCGUCUGUUUAGCUAGUUGGAGGGGUAACAGCCCACCAAGGCGAUGAUCAGUAGCCGGUAUGAGAGGAUGAACGGCCGCAGUGGGACUGAGACACGGCCCAGACGCCUACGGGAGGCAGCAGGGGGGAAUCUUCCGCAAUGGACGAAAGUCUGACGGAGCAACGCCGCGGGAGUGAUGACGGCCUUCGGGUUGUAAAGCUCUGUUAAUCGGGAGGAAAGGGCUUCUUGCGAAUAGGGAGAAGGAUUGACGGUACCGGAAAAGAAAGCCACGGCUAACUACGUG
rnacentral:rRNA from 1 species